GGGAACAUGUGGUUCGUGCCAGCCAGUUGAUGUGGGCGCUUUCUUCUGCCCCUACUCCCGGCUGUCCGCUUCCUCCCCAGCCCCCUCCUGUGAGCUCUGGGAGCUACAGAAUAAGGACACUCCUUGGCCCCAAGCCAGCCCCAGCUUGCUCGGGAGCCUGGGUUUCCCCCUCCGUCCCCAUCACCGCGAGGGUCUGUGCAUGGGAAUCUGCUCCAGAGGCUCCCUCAGGCGCCGCGCCGCGGGGAUACGCCUUUCACCGCCCCAGCAAUUGGAGCGCUGAGUCGAAGUCCUGAUUCCACGAUAGGCGGAUGAAGCCCUAACGCUGAAAUUCUUUCCUCUAGGUCUUUGGCAGCGGCUGGGGCCAAAGCCCGGGCAAGACCAACGCCUUCGGCACCCGGACUCAGGCUCCGUCCUCUCUGCCAGCGUGCGGCUACAAUGACUCGACAUGGCAGGUGGGCAAGCACAGCACGCCCCAACAGACAUGCUUUAUUUAAUAUGUACUAAAAAUACAGCAGGCCUGUGAAACCCACAGGUGCAAUUGCUUAAAAUGAGGCUAAGGUAGACGUGUGAAUGGUUAAUAAUGAGUUGAUUAAAAUAUUCAGAAAUCAUCUACUGGAGACGGGCAAACUGCAAAAUGGUAGCAUGGGAGCAACUGAUGUUCGAGAAAGCCCAGGCUCCGGCAAGCCGUGGGUUUGAAUUUACACAUGCGCACAUAAUGGGUAUGAAUAAACCUUUCUUCAAAAAAACCAGAUCAAGUCAAGGCAGUUAUUUGCUGUGGGCAGGUGCCAAGGCUGGCUGCUUCAGUCCCCACGCGAGUCGCCCCCGAGCCUGCUUCUGCAGCCCAGCCUGGAAAGUGCAAGGCACUUGGAAAGGAGCCACGCCCAACGCCCUGUACCAGCGGCCUCCCGGACACCAACAGCGUCCUCUGCGCCUGCUGCAGCUUGUCCCUUAGUCCUCCCUGGACAGAGGGCGUGAAGUUGGCUGCGCCAACAGGACGCGGCCCGCUCACUUCGGGGCUCAUUGUCCUGGACACACAGUCAGGGCUGGACGCCUCCAGCAGCCCCACGCUUCACCCCAAGGUCCGCAAACCUGACAACUUCGGAGGUAGGGAUAUCUUGACACAGUCUGAAAACAAACCAUUUAAAACUUUUUUUCUCAAAAAAUUAAAAUAAUUUUUUUCUGCUUACAAAAUCUAUAAAUUCAGUUCAAUAUCAAUGAAAAUCGCAACAGGAUGUUGACACUUGAGAAGCUGAUUUGAAAGUUCAUCUGAAAGAGAAAAUAUAUAGGAAUCCUGAAGAUGAUUUCGAAAACCUCCAAAAAGACUUCAGUAAUUCACACAGAAAAUCCAGAAACAGAUUCAUGUUUAUGGGGAAAUUUAGUAUUUGAUACAGGAGACCUUUCAAAGCCAAGCUGGAAAGAUGGAAGGUCAACAGAGGCUUUGGGGAAAACUCACUAUCCAUUUUGAAACCAAUGUUAGAAUCUUCUUACCAUUUGCAAGAAUAAACUCCAGGUGUAUUAAAGAGCUAAACAUUUAAAAAAUCUAUAAAAGUUUUAAAGCCAAAUAUGGAAGAAUAUUUUUAAAAUCCUAUGGUGAAGAAGGCUUUUACUAAGCAGCAAACAAAACCUGGAAACCGUAAAGGAAAUGACUGACAGAUUUGAAUAUUGCAAGAACUAAAUGAAUGCCUCCUUAAACAAAUUAAAGGACAAAUUCCAGGCAGGGAGAAAAUAGUUUACAAUAGAAGUAAUGUGCCAAUGGUUAAUAUCUGUGUUGCAUAAACAUGUCUUUCCAAUCAAUAAGAAAAGAGUAGGAAAUGGGUAAGGAUUUAACAGGCAAUUCACAGAAGACAAAGUAACCGGCCCCUAAAUGGGAGCAUAUCCUCAACUUCACUAGUAAUAAAGGAAACGAAUUUAAAAGACGAUACAUUUCUCACUUCUUCUCUCCUUAUAGCUGUAUUCCACCUUUGACCAUACAGCCUGUUUUUAUUUAUCGUAAGCAUAGGUUAAUAAAUACAGGGCUUACCAUGUUAAUAUCUUCUUUCUAUGGAUGCGUAACAACUUAUUUUAUCAUUCCGUUUGUGACUGAAAUUGAAUUUCUUUCUGUAAACCUGAAAAUAUCUGAGACAAGCCUCGAUCAACUUAGAAGUUUACUUUGCCAAGAUUAAGGACACGUCUUGGGAGACAGGUCUGUGCCUUUCUCCAAAGAUGAUUUCGAGGGCUUCAGUAUUUAAAGGAAAAAGCCAGCUGGAGGGGACAGAGGGAGGGUAUGGUCACAUUACUGAAUCCAAAUGUUGCAAAAGAAAAGGAGCAUGUAGGGGAAUGGUCAGUUAUGUGUUCGUCCCAUGCUCAGUAACUCGACUCUUCACACAAGAUAAGGCCACUGCCUUCAGAGAAGGUGACAGAGGGCCAUGUCUGAAACAUUCUCCCACAACCAGGAACCCUCAGCAGCCGCUGAAGAGGAAAGGCAGUUAAAUGGAAAGACUUCUGAGCAAGUGGAGGAAAAGUCACGUGUGACCUAGGGAGGGGCUCCCACAGGAAGGGGCAAUGCCCUUGCCCUGUUCACCUAGCCUCCAGGUGGCUUCCCACUUGAAAUUUCAGAGGAUGGCAGAAACCUACUUACAAGGAAAUGAAAGAGGGCACAGCAACCUUAAGACCAGAGCAGCCCACGAUAUUUUUUAAUGAGGGCAAAAAUAGAAGACUUGCAAAAGACCCCUGAAAAUAAUGCCUGGAAGCUGCGAAACAUCAGACUGACACCGCACAAAAGAGGUCCAGCUGAGCAGGAGAAAAGCUUGAGAAGCAUCCAGAACAAUGUAGGUGGAGAGGCUAAGAAGAAAGAGGAGCCCACAUGGAAUGAAUAACCAAGGUCGGGACAGAGGAAGGUUCGCCAGAACUGGGAGGGCUGAAAUUGGACAUUGAGAUAAAUUAAAGAGUGUUCUUUAAAACUGUCAAGACUUUGGCUGGUCAAUAAGUAAACUGCAAACGAGUGUUCCUAAACCACAGCAGCAAUGCUCCCUGGAGGAGGGAAGGAGGCCGGGGCUGCCACUCUCCCAGGUGGCUGCGUCCCGGCCUUUGCCAUUGAUGUGUGCUUUCUCCAGGCUCACAGAUGUCCCUGGGCCGGUUGCAUCUGUGACCAGGACUCUGCCACCUGCCUGUGGCUUGCUGAUCAGCUGGUCACCCAGGAAUGUUAGGGAUGAACAGAGACCUAGAACUCAGGCUCCAUGGAUCUGGCAGCACCAGGAGACGAGGUUUCAAAUCUCAUGGCUGGGCCAGCCAGCCAGGUGCCCUGGAACUGUUGUGAUCCCUGCUCCUUGCCGGGCUUAGCCUCCUCUUACUUCAGCCCAGAAGUCCCCGAGUACCCACUCAACAAAUGCCAUCCCUUUAAUUUCUGUGGCCUGCUGCCAUCACGGCUCGCCUAAUUCAUUCCCUCCACACCCUAAGUGUCCACGGAAGUGGCUGAAACAGUAAAACCACAGAGGAGCAUUCAUUCCAGUCCCCAAG
rnacentral:lncRNA from 1 species